rnacentral:antisense_RNA from 1 species
AGUACGCAUUCCACCUUUUUCUACAAUGAAUCCACUAGGCAGAAAUUCCUGUACACAUCUUAUGAGCAAAGAAUUUGAACCUCAAAGAGUGGCUCAAAGAGGUCAGGAGGCACCUUCAACACUUUUAUUGGAGAUCUCGUCUAGAUCAUCAGAUUCUCACUCUGUCACCUAGGCUGCAGUGCAGCGGUGCGAUCUCAACUCACUGCCACCUCUCUCUACCUCCUGGGUUCAAGCAAUUCUCCUGCCUCAGCCUCCCAAGUAGCUGGGAUUACAGAGCUCAUGGUUUUUAAACAACUUGUGGUAAAAAUCUGGUGGAAAAGAUAACAACAGCAUAUGAUAUGGCAGAGUUGCACAGAAGAAUCAGAACAUUGUUUUAGAGAAACGUUGGGCAAUUAAUUAAGCCAGCUGAUUAAGUUUUAAAGGAGGAAGAUGGAACUUGGAGAAGACAUACAGGCUGAAGAAAAAAAAUAUUGUGGAAGUGAUCAGCACAUUCUAAUUGACCAUGGAUGCCCUCUGCAUUCAUGUGGUAACCCAGGGAGAGUAUGGAGUGAAAAAAGGAUCACCAAAGAAACUUGGGGUAUCUCAACAUUUAGGAUGUGCGCAGAGAAGAUGAGAUCAUUAAAAUGUACCAAGAG